CGAGAUGUCAAAACAGCCUCCAGGUUCUGCCAAGCCAUCCAGUGAGUGUGGGGCUGCCCGAGCCCAUCACCAGCUUAGAUGAACAGCUUAGAGGCUGUCCCUGCCCCAACAGGGAAGAGCAGACACAGGUGCUGGCAACGGGAAGACAGAAGCACACAGCUCAGAGAAGUGGAGGUUCUAUGAGGAAACAAUGACACCAAAGUCAGGGUCAGGCCUGAGCCCUUUGUACAUAGCAUCCUUCUAUCUGUGGGGCUAUUUGUAAAGGACCAGCAUUACCUUUUGGGGCGAUCUGGCUGAAUUUAAGUGAGGACUUUAGCCUUCUCUGCCCUCUGUGCCCCCAAGGGCACUGCCUCUGUGGGGGCUGUGGCACGACUUCAGUGAAGGCUGGAGGAACAGAGUUACACCAGCUGGACUCUAAUGUGGAAUCACUAAAAGUUUCCAGUACUUAGAGGGAAGCACUAAUUGGAUAAUGUGAGGGACAGCUAACGGAACCAGGCCCAACCAGCUUUAAAUGACUUUUGCAUUUUUAAAAAGGGUAGCAUGGCAUGGAAAAAUAUUGAAAGAAGUCAUGCUAAAAAUUAACAAUAUUUAUCUUUGAAGGGUGCGAUUACAGGUGGCUUUUUUAUUUUCACUAUAUUGUCUAAGUUUUCUGUAUUAAGCAUGUAUUACUCUUAUAAGUUUAAAAACAUUGUAUAAGCAUUAUAUGGUAGUUCAUCAGUUCAAUCCAAGAAAAUGGGGGAGAGUUUUCUUGGGCCGUGCUUUAGUUUGGGAGGAAACCAGCUUUGAGGUCAUUGCUGUUUCUGGGGCAGGAAAGAGAGUGAUGCCCUUGGGAAAACACCAGCCUAGGAGUGCCGGGGGGCCGCCUGGAGCAGAUGUGCCCAGCGAAGCCUCACAGGCUGCUCUGCCCAGCCCGCCUCCGCGGCGACUUGAUGGAAAGACAGUUUCCAAAUACAAAGCAAAAUCUAUUGACAGAGGCAUCAGGCCAAGGCCUGCAGCCACUGAGCAGCCACCAGGCAGACUGUGGAGGAGGUGACUGGUCCCAGGGACACCCUACCAUGUGGCCACAUUUUGGCAUCUCUGUCCACAAACUCUAAUUUAUAGCUGUCUGGGAUCAUCUUCCCAGACGGAAUACAUUUGUCCACUUCUGGAACACAUGUGUUUGAUGCAUAAUGGAAAAUUAAAAGAGAGGUUGCAAUUUAAAGCCAUGGGGCAAGGAGAAAAAAUCUGCAUUUGCUCAUCCACGCCCCCCAACCCAAGCCACACGGGUUUCCUCCUAGGUCAAGGAAACUGUGGCUCAGCCGAACGUCAUCGCGUGCGGAGGGAAUCCUCCCAGCAUGCAGCUGCUGGCUGUGUCAGGAACACCGUGGGCGAGGAGCCGGUGAGCCCCGAGGUUACUGAUGACGAGAGUGAUCAUGGCUGUGGAAAGCGGCAUCGACAGAGACCAUGUAGCUCUUUGGUCCUUUCAAAUUCACCAUUCUAGUAAGGCUCUUGAAAUACUCUGGACUUUGGUUGAUCUACCACACACCAGAACUCGCUUGAAAAAAUUCACACCAAUUCCAGUCCAGUCAGGAACAAAGUGAGCAAGUCUAGUGACAUUAAACCCUGUUAUCCUGUGCGUCCUAUACCUGGGAAGAGGUGUCUCACUGAGUGAGCCGAGGGGAGGCUUCAGGCCCCUCCAACCCGAAUUUGUAACCCUUCUAGACCAAACCCCCUCCUCUUUUUAAUCUGAGCCACUCUGUUGCAUUUAGACGUAACACUGCACUUCUGCCAACGGUAGACCAAAUAAGGAUCAAGAGCUCUCCCUUUUCGUCCCUUUCCUUCUCUUGCCCCCGCCAUCAUCCCCUUUCCCUUUUUCUCUGUCUGUCAGGGAAUCAACUGGGAUCCCGGAGGUGCAGUGCUAAGCACUAGGGAAACAACGACAAGGAAGACAGGACUCACAGUCUAACACGCAAGAUAACUCGUAAACUAAUAAAUGCAAUACGUGCAGGAAGUGUGCUCAGGGGAAGAGCAUCACAUCGCCCAGAGAUCAAAGUGCCACAGCCGGUGUACAGCGGAAGACACUCCAUUUAGAUUUACAUCUUUGAAGAAUGAGUUAGAAGUCACGGAGCACGGAGGGUCUGGAGGGAGGAGUGAAUGCCAGGCAGAGGGAACAGCGCAGGAAUGGACUUUUUCAGACAACAGCAUGAGUUGGGCUUUGAUGUUAAUCAUUUAAUAAACAUUUAUUGAGCGCCUAUUGUGAGCCAGGAGCCAAGGACUCAUACAUAAGGAAGAUCCAGUUCCUUCUCCAGAGGAUCUCAGCGGCUCACGGAGAAGCUGAUCCCCACUGGGCAGUCCAGGAGGGACAUUAACCCUGCAGGCUCCAGAACUGUGAGAAAUAAACUCCUGUUGUGUAAGCCACCCAUUUUUUUUUAUGGCAACCUGACCUAAGACAGACUGACAGGACCAACUUUGAACAACUUCCCUCACAGCCCUCCAAGGGAAUACUUCGAGAAGUUCUACAAAUCUUCUUCAACUUCUGAUGGGGUGACGUCCCAGUAAAUCCAUCGGUGAACACCAUGUGUACAAACAGCCCAGCUCAUUUGCAGUUCUCUUCUUUGGGAUGAAGUCACACGAAGUUGGAAAUAACACUUCAACCCUAGAGUUUUCAUUAAAAGCUUUUAAGCUAAUACUUGCUCUUGGUGGCAAUUCCCAUCCUAGAUGGAAUCAGCAGGCAAAAGUCAAAGCACAUUUGCUUUGGAAGAUGAUACUCAUUUUCUCAAAGAGAAAAGCUAGCGCCCAAGAUUUUCAUCCUAUUAUGCCGUGAAAGCAAGGCAAGGAUUCAGAUGGCACUUUCUCAAAAUCAAGGAUUUUGUCAGAAGAAAUAGAAGAGCCAAAUGCCAUAUGACAUCCAUGCGAAGCUACCUCCGAGGAACCCUGCUGCCCUUGCCUCAACAUCAGGACCAGGUGCUGAGGACGGAAGGAGGCCACCAGCAGGACACUGUCCCCGCCUGCAAGGAGCAAAGACACCAGAGAGGAAGCAAACCACAAUCAAAGGCCAAAUGGAGCACUUAGUAAAGGCGCGAGUGCCUCAAGGCCAAGGACUGUGUCUUACUGGUUUUGAAAGCCCAGCGUGUGGCAGGGGGCCGGGACGUAGCAGGUGGUCAGCACAUGUUUGCUGAGUGACUGACUGCAGAGGAGGGAACCUCCCCUUUGACUCCUUGUCCUUCAUAAGCUACGAGACUCCUGCUGCUGUGCUUGGUUGGUUGGGCCUAGGACACCUACUGCCCACUUCUCCUUACUUUUACGAACCUUUUGGAUUCUGGAUUCUUCUUGCACUUCUAGUGUUUAAACACGACUACUACUAAUAUCUUCUGUUAUUGAGUAUUUACCACCCACAUGUACCAUACUUACUACUUUACACACAUGAACUCAUUAUCCGCACAAAGAUCAUAGAUUGAUGUUGGUACUUGAUCACGUCCAUUUUACAGAUGAGAAAACUGAGGCUCGAAGAGGUUAAACAACUUGCCCAAGGUCCCCUAGUUGGUAAAUAGUACAGCCAGGAAUAAACCCAGGCAGUGCGAUGCCAGUAUCCACCUUCUAGGCUUUGAAUCCCUGUAUUUGAAUUGCCACGCUGCAGACUGUCUGCAGACUGGCCCCUGUCACAGACUCCUAGUCCCUCCCAGUCCACACUGGCGGAGGCUGGCCCCUCUCGUCCACACUGCAGGAGGCUGGCCACUGCUGCUCUCUUCCCACCUUGACAGAAAUCAGAAAUGAAGACUAUCCUACAAGAAGGCCAAGGAAAUCCCUAUCUGCUUUCUGGGGUGGUCUAGCUUUUGGGUGAACCUGGAGGAAUACUUUCUUCAGGGAUUUAUUUUUUCCUGAGGAAGAUUGUCACUGAGCUAAGAUCUGUGCCAAUCUUCCUCUAUUUGAUAUGGAAUGCCACCACAGCAUGGCUUCAUGAGCGAUGCUAGGUCUGCUCCCGGGAUCCAAACUGCAAACCUCAGGCUGCCAAAGCAGAGCCCAUGAAACUAAGCACUACGCCAGGCUGGCGCCUUCAGCUCUUUUUUUUUAACCAAUCUUUCUCAUAGAUCUGAAGUUACUGUUUGAGGUAAGUUUGGGAAAGAGAGGCAGGCAACCUUGGUCAGCUUCUGUGGAGUCAAACAUCUUUCACUCCAAAGCCCAGGAGACACUGUCUUUCCUAAAAGCACUUGUCAGACAUCGCCAAGUGAAACCCCAAGGCUGCAUUAAUCAUGGCGAGAAGGAAAGGAGAACAACUUCAAACAAGCCAUAUAUGGCAUCUGACUUUCUACAAUGAACAGUCCUGCUUCCUGUUGGUCGGUAGCCCUGAGCAGCUCAUACAGCACAAUGAUAGGAAAACGCUGAGCACACGACAAUAAGCCAAGGCAUAAACAGCGCCCAAGGUUUUCUUUAAACCAACAGAUGCGGCUUGGUGGACUGUGGUGUGUUAUUUAUAUUGCUAUGCAACGGAGGGAAAAAAUAAAGGUGCUUUCAGUGAAAGGCAGGGACUCUGCCAUGCUAUCUGACUGUGGUGUCAGACACCACAGUCAAUUCAGACGCCACAGAUGCUGGGAGGGGCUUCAUGUUAGACACCAACCAUGAUAACAGAAAUUAACUUAGUGGGGUUCACGGCUAGGCUUUACUUUUGUUUCUGAAUAUGGUGAAUACAGUCGGCGGCCCUGGGCCAGGGAGUGCUGUGCCGGCUCAGGCAGGAUCCAGUGGAUGUUUAUAAGAUCAGGAGCGCAGCCCAGGGAAACUUCAACCAAGUUGCCAGGAGGUUGCAAAUCCACUUGUCAAACUGCGGAUCACAAAACAUACCCCACCCCCGCCUCCGUGCCAGCCUUCUGGUGAGUUCCUGACAGGAAAGGAAGUGCUGCCACAGAGAGGGACCUUAUACCUUAGAAGGGCAGGCACGCCAGCAUCGAAGGGUGUGUGUAAAUACCACGCUUGAAGUCACAGCGACAGCCGAUCCCUCCAGGAAAACGUCCCCCACCCUCUGCCCCUUCCCCACACUUCCCAGAAACCCCUCCAAUCAGGAAAAACAACUUCAGAAACCAGGGCAGGGCUUUUCUGGAAUCUGGUUCCCUCAGUUACAGUCAAGGUAGAUAUCUGGAUAAUUUAUCCCAAACAACUGCUUUCCCCUAAAUCAUUAGGUACCCGUCUCAGGGCGCCCCUUUCCCUUUGGUCAUGUAUGUACAGACGUGGGAAGGCUGCCUGCAACUGCCGCUCUUCCAAGACCCUGGGUUCCCACCCACCAAGGAACUGGGAGAGAGGAAGGCCCCACCUUCCCCUGCUGGGCUCAAUCUGUGUGAACAAUCGAAAGGUAAUGAGCAGGAAGAGAUAGGCUCAGUCCUCCAGAUAAAGUUGAUAACUGAUCACCUGUGCAAAUCAGGAAGGCCAUUUGUACCAAGUUCUCUAAACUGCAGACUCAUCAAUUCACUGCACGGCUAUUUACCAGUGCCUCCUACAUGCUGGGCACUGUUCUAGGCACUAGGGCACAGCUGUGAACAAAACAGAAAAGAAUUCCUUCUCUCAGUGUUCUCAGUUCUAGUGGGGAAAAUCCGCAAGUACAAACUGGGAAGAUAACGUGCAGUUAUCCUAAAUGAAGACAAGCUGCUAGUCACUUGGCAAACAUCUACACUAUUCCCCAACACUGUGGGCCUCAGAAAAGAGAGCUAACUUUUACUGAAUGCUUCCUAUGUGCCAGUCACUGAAUGAUAAUAUUUUCUUUUUUUCACUUUUCUUUUUGGAGGAAGAUUAGC